AAAAAAAAUACAGCAAGAGCUUAGCCCGAGCAGCAGCCGCCCUUCUUCACCGCCGAAACAUCAUCCUUUAUAUUGAUCUUCUCACCCUUGCCAGGACCAGAACCUGCAUCAUCACCUGCUUCGACUGACCUCUUGCUCACGAUGCGGUAGAUCUGGGUCAAGACCUCUGCAAAUGCAUUCUCAACGUUGGUGGACUCGAGCGCAGAGGUCUCCAUGAAAUAGAGCGAUUCUCUCUCCGCGAAUGCCUUCCCUUCAUCGGUUUGAACCGCUACAAGAUGGCGCAGAUCAGACUUGUUGCCAACUAGCAUGACAACUAUGUUUGGGUCUGUAUGGUCCCUCAAUUCCUUCAACCAGCGCUCAACAUUCUCAAAGGUUGAGUGCCGGGUGACAUCAUAGACAAGCAACGCUCCAACAGCACCUCGGUAAUAUGCACUAGUAAUAGCACGGUAUCUGCACCAAGAACAGAUGCUUUAUAAGUGAAGGCAGAAGUAAACUGAAAAGGCAGCAUUCUGCCUUGCAAGAUAAAUCAGUGCUGAAACUACUAAAAAAAUAGGAGGGAGGAGGGGCGUACCGCUCCUGGCCGGCGGUGUCCCAAAUCUGGGCCUUGACGACCUUGCCGUCGACCUGGAGGGAGCGGGUGGCGAACUCGACGCCGAUGGUGGACUUGGACUCGAGGCUGAACUCGUUGCGGGUGAAGCGGGAGAGGAGGUUG
rnacentral:sRNA from 1 species